rnacentral:lncRNA from 1 species
UAUUGCUUUAUUAUUAAUAUUGAAUAUUGAAGGUUUUCAACCUUCUAGAAUUCUUCAAUAUUUUUUUUUUCUCUUUUUGAAUAUCCUAUUUGCAAUUUUGAGGAUGAUAGAAGAUACAUGGGCAGAAGUUUCUUCCAAAUGCUUUUCAUUGUUUUGUCAGUAUGUUUGUCCUUUCUUUAUGGAUAUUCACGAUACUGUUCAGAACUUUUGAAUAUUCUAUUAAUAUUUCAAAAGUUGAUCCCAUUGCCCAGGCAACAGAGAAAGCCAAUAUAUUAUGAUAGCAAAUUUUAUUUGGAAAACUAUACUGAAAUUUCUACUCAGUUGCUGAAUUCUCACGAUCAAGACCUCAUACUCAAACUUGGAAGCAAAGCAUGCUUAUAAACUGAGAAACCUAAACCAAAGGAGAGAAAUAUGAUGAUUUCAAAUUUGAAUGAAAAACUUGAAUUUCAUUAAUACAGACAUCACAAUUCUUGAGAAAAUUAAUUUUAAUGAACAAUAAGCAGCAACAGCUAAAAAAGAUAUAAAGAGGAAAUGCUUUCUAUUAGGAGGUUCUGGAUAGAAGAAGAAAUAGUUGUCUCACACGACUCAACUUCUUGAUUUCCUGAAGCCAUCAUUAUGUAUCACAAUUUGUAUUAUUGGACAUUGAAGAUUUUCCAGAUGGCCUGAAUACAAUUUAAGAGGAAAUGUCUUGUCGUCUUUAAAUUAUCAUUUGAUUUAUCAAAUUUCAUAUAAAGAAAUGCAAAAUUCUAAAAAGGAGGUCUUUUAUUUUAAAAAGCUUUCUGUUUAGAAUGAUUGUCUCUCUACAUUUUUUAGUAACCAAGUUGAGUUUCAGAUUUCAUACUUUUAAAAAUUUUUAUUAAGUACAAAAUAAAUGUAUCUG